GCCGGAUCUAUAAGUUUCGGAAGAAAUAAUUCUUUCCGCAAUAACUUUGGCUAAUAAUUUGUAACCAAAUUUAAGAGAGAAAGAGGGCGCCAGUUCGUCAAGAGUGUUCUGAAGGAAAGAGAACAGUUCUUAUUUCCGAUUGAAAUAAAAGUUGUUUUCAAUAUCUUAAAGAAUAUAUACAAAUUAACAAUUGCCUUUCUG
rnacentral:lncRNA from 1 species